UACAGAGGUGGCAAGCGUUGUUCGGAAUUACUGGGCGUAAAGGGCGCGUAGGCGGUCUUGUAAGUCUUGUGUGAAAUCCCUCGGCUCAACUGAGAAACUGCACGGGAUACUGCGAGACUUGAGUUCGGGAGAGGGAAGCGGAAUUCCGGGUGUAGCGGUGAAAUGCGUAGAUAUCCGGAGGAACACCGGUGGCGAAGGCGGCUUCCUGGACCGAUCACUGACGCUGAGGCGCGAAAGCUAGGGGAGCAAACGGG
rnacentral:rRNA from 1 species